rnacentral:rRNA from 1 species
CGUCUAUAUACGUAUAGCAUAUCAAUAAGCGGAGGAAAAGAAACUAACAAGGAUUCCCUUAGUAACGGCGAGUGAAGCGGGAAGAGCUCAAAUUUGAAAUCUUCAAGGUUCUACCUUGACGAAUUGUAGUUUAAAGAAGUGUUUUCUGUAGUGGAGUUUGGUAAAAGUUCUUGGAAUAGGACAUCAUAGAGGGUGAGAAUCCCGUAUUUGGUCAUUCCUUCUAGCUUUGUGAUACACUUUCAAAGAGUCGGAUUGUUUGGGAAUGCAGUCCAAAAUGGGUGGUAAAUUUCAUCUAAAGCUAAAUAUUGGCGAGAGACCGAUAGCGAACAAGUACCGUGAGGGAAAGAUGAAAAGAACUUUGAAAAGAGAGUUAAACAGUACGUGAAAUUGUCAAAAGGGAAGCGUUUGACACCAGUGUUGUUUUCUCGAAAAUCAAUUAAAAAUGGUGGGAUGUUGUGUUGUAUUGACUUUAUCAGCUUUCUGCACUUUUUUUCCUAUCUUUUUUAAUGCACUUUUCGUUUAACAAGUCAACAUCAAUUUCUUUUGUUGUAAAAGAGUCAUUGGAAGGUGGCUUUCUUUUCGGAGAAAGUGUUUAUAGCCUUUGGCUUCUGCAAUCGGAGAGAUUGAGGUCUGCAGCGUAGAUCCUUCGGGGUUAGAUGCAUUUGUGCUAAGUUAUAGCCUUUCAUAGACAACUUGUUGACUAUGAUCAGUCAUGUAGCUUACUCGCUUAUGCUCAUUUUACCUACGCUUAGGAUGUUGACACACGCGCGUGCUCG